ACCCCAUGUAAAGCCGGUAACCUUUGAGAAUCAAUUCACUCAAGGUUGUGACUCAGAUUGGGAACAAAAUUCUCUGAUGUGUGUAUGUUGGAUAAACUCUUACGUUUACCUUACAAAGAAAAAUUCAGAAACA